CACAAUAUAGCUUAAUAUCAAAGCACUUCGCUUACACCGAAUAGACCUCUGUGAAACCCAGAAUAUUGUGA
rnacentral:tRNA from 2 species